rnacentral:rRNA from 1 species
CUGGCUCAGGACGAACGCUGGCGGCGUGCCUAACACAUGCAAGUCGAGCGAGGAGAUCCUUCGGGAUGAUCCUAGCGGCGGACGGGUGAGUAACACGUGGGCAACCUGCCUCAUAGAGAGGAAUAGCCUUCCGAAAGGGAGAUUAAUACCUCAUAACAUUGCAGUUUCGCAUGGAACAGCAAUUAAAGGAGUAAUCCGCUAUGAGAUGGGCCCGCGGCGCAUUAGCUAGUUGGUGAGGUAACGGCUCACCAAGGCGACGAUGCGUAGCCGACCUGAGAGGGUGAUUGGCCACAUUGGGACUGAGACACGGCCCAGACUCCUACGGGAGGCAGCAGUGGGGAAUAUUGCACAAUGGGGGAAACCCUGAUGCAAGCAACGCCGCGUGAGUGAUGACGGCCUUCGGGUUGUAAAGCUCUGUCUUCAGGGACGAUAAUGACGGUACCUGAGGAGGAAGCCACGGCUAACUACGUGCCAGCAGCGGC